CACUAUCUAACUCAGUGGGUAAAGAAUCUGCCUGCAAUGCAGGAGAUCCAGGUUUGAUCCCUGGGUUGGGAA
rnacentral:tRNA from 1 species